UAGCUUGAUAUUAUUUCUGGAUGUCUUUGCCUUUCCUCUGAUGAAGAAAGUCUAUGGCAAGAUCUCACAGUCUCUUUGGAGAAAUAGGCAAAAAUGCCCAUGGAAGGCUGUUCAGAGGGACAAAAGCCAUUUCAGUGACAUGCCAGUGAUUUUGUUCAGAGGCUGGUUAAUGCACAUGUCCUCCAGCUGCGAAUCAGAAACAAAAGGGAAGAUUUUGUGGAGGUAUAGGUUUUUUAUUGAAUGAUUUUUCGCUCAGUUGAUUUGUAGAACCCUGAUUACACAUCUAUAUUUUUUCAGAAUCCAGGUCUUAGCAACAGCUCAUCGUGGCACCAUGCUAUGUCAGAGCUGCUGCUGACUUGAAAGGCUUUUCAAUGCAUUUUAUUACGUGCUUAACAUGAACAGACACGUUUCCUCUCCCAUCUGCAAGAAAGAGGCCGCUACUUCAAAACCUUUCUUGGCUAAUACACCGGAGCAGCCCCGGUGGACUAGAUGUUCUGAACUAGUGUAACUCACCGAGGAGCAAGAAUCAUCACCACAGGGGUAUAACAGUCUCACCAGGCUGCAGUAUCUCCAUUUAUUUUUAGACUUCUGCACCACAGCUGGAGAUGACUACUCCAGGAACAGUAGUUCUGCCUGUGGAAAGAGAGCUGUGUUCGCAACUUAUCCUCAGAAAGAAAGCUAAUGCUCUGUAAAUAUCUGUGUGGAGUGAUGCCUCCCUUCCAUCUGCAUGUGGUUUUGGAAAAAACACAGGCUGUCUCGGCAACCAUCUCGAAGAACCUGCACAAUAGACCAUGAAGUGGAUUGGCAAACUACAGCUUAUUUGAAUGUUUAAGAACUUUGGGAAUCAGGAGAACUGAGUUACAGUCCUGACUGCCAGUUUGUCACUUUGAGCAAGUCUCUCUCAGACUGGGUCCACUCAAGGUCCAAAUACUGAUUAGUUGCUGUAUUUCUCUGAAUCAGCUUUCUGCCAUUGGAGACCUUUAUCCAUUUCUCCGGGAGUCAUGCAUAAUGAUUUCCAAUGAGCUAAUUCUUCUGAAACUUUCUUCAGAGGUGGACUAUAAUUCAGAGAGAGGUUUCAGAGUAACAGCCUUGUUAAUCUGGGAGAGGUUGCCUGGCAAUUAAGUCACAUGGGUCUGCUCAUCCUUUUGAGGCUGAUUGGGAGGUCAUAUGACAGGAGACUGGGAGGUUAUAAUUUAAGGGCAGGAACUGCUCUCCUCAGAGUCUUUGGCUAUUUUCAUCAGUUCAAGCCAAUGGAAGCUGUUGCAGGAGCCUGAUGUUGGGGGAACCCUGCCUACCUGAACACAGAGAGACCUUAAGAACUCCCAAGG